ensembl:lncRNA
GAUUUGAGGUUUAAAAAAGGCUAUUAUACUUGUCAUCAACAGGACAGAAGACUUUUAUUACAAAAUCUGUUCCUUAGAUACUCUUAAAUAAAAGUCAUAAACUGAGCUUGUUUUGUUGCUAUGUGGAAAGAAUAGUGGGAAGGAUCUCUGACAGCCUUUCAAAUAUCCAUCUAUCACUCUUUACACAAUCGUUUCGUUCGUCAAAUAUAUACAGUCCUACGAACAAUCACAAGUAAAUAAAAGGAGUGUUCCACCCACAAGCCAAAUAAAUAUUCUGUCUACAACUAGACCAAAUCUUGGUAUGUAGCUCAUAACAUUUAGCUGAGGAGAGUCAGAGGUGCAUUACAGCGCAUUCACAUCCUAGGCCUUGUAAGAGUGAUCAGGACUAUCAGGUAGAAAAUCACGUGCAAUUAUAGGAAGUAAUGGGCAGCAGUAAUAGUGUCAAUAAUGAUUAGUAGGUCUUUUUAAUUGUAUUUAAUUGCAUUUUCUUGAAUUCCAGGCUGUUUGUUGAAGCUCUGGACUUCAUGUACCUCUAAUAAAAUCCUUCAGAUCCUAUUCCCAGGGUUUCUACUGAAGUCAGCCCAGGCAAAUAUAUUGUUCUUUUUACUUUUAAAAUAAUCUAAAGGCUAAUUCUAUUCCGAAUUUGCAGAGGUCUGAAUUAAGACUUGUUUAAAAAUAAAUAGAUUUUGAUCCAUGAUACUAUUUAGAAACUCUUUAUUUUACAGACUUGCUCAAGAGAACUUAAGAAAGGCUUUUGUCAGUGAAAAUGUUGUAGCUAAAACAAGACUUUGGGAACAAAUAAUGGCAACAUUUGAAGCAUUUUGUUUUGUACUAAUCUGCAUUUCUACCCUACUGUUUGCUCUGUAACAACUCCAUUUUCUUCUGUAGGUAUAUAUCCGCCCAUCAAACUAACAUGAGACCACCUUCUCUGUUAGAACUGGACCAAAUAACUUAUGUACGGGUAUUCAGUGGAGAAGGGAGAAUGGAGAGAAGUGCUAAAGCCAGAAACUGAAGUUGCUUCAAAACUGGAAUCUUAUAGAGACCUGAUUUUCUCCCAUAUGAUAUUAUGUAAAAUGGUUCUCAUAGAGAUCCUGACGUUUGUCCUGUAGAAAUUAAUGGAAAAAUAUCUGUCAAAUUAAAUAAAUCUGGGAUUAGAUGUAAUUACUAAGGUGGUUGUAACAAAGACACAUAAGUUUAAAUCAAAACAAAGAAAAUUCUAAUCUGUUGACUAAUGCACUGUGGCGAGUGUUUAAUUAGCUCACGUAUUGAUGACUGUCAGCUAAUAAACACCGCUUCAGGUGGUUUAAUCAAAUACUUUAUUCAGAGUGGUGAUAGAUGAAAUUGUUAAUGUUCUGUACAAGAUAAGUGUGCCAGAGCUUUCCUAAACAACUGGUCAGUGAGUGGUAAAGUCAACAAAUCUCAAAAGUAAGUGGUAUUUGCUUUACUGUCAAUCCACUCAUGCAUUCAGAGAGUUAGACCAUGCACAGAGUAUUCAUGAACUUGCCCAGCAAUUUCUAAAAAGAAAAACCACGUUGUGUCUCUGUAAUAUGGAGACUGGUCUCUUGGCAGGGAUGGCCUCAUACUUCACAGCAUUCAUUUUUGUGUGUAUUUUCUGUGGAAAUGGUCAUUACAUGCAUACAAACCUGUAUAGCAUGUAGGCAGGGCAGAUGUAUGCAGGAAGGCUACAUGACUGUAUGAAGUGAUCUGAUGUGCUGCGCAUACUGGUGGUGUAGGGAGGAAGGAAGCAGGGAUAAUCUGCACUUAAAACUAUGUGACAGACAGGAGAGAAUAAUGUUUGGAUAUUCAGCAUAGGAUGAAUUUCUGAAGCUUUUAUCUUUAAUGAAAUUUUGUUUUAAUUGCUUCUAUUUGAAUUGCGUCUCAUUUCUAAUGUCUGUUUGUGAGGAGAAGGAAUGAUGUUCAACACUUAAUGCACUGGAUUGAGAGAUUUGGGAUUUAUCUGUCUGUGAUUCCCAGUGUGACCUCCAGCUAAUCGUUUCCUCUCCCCGUCUCAGUUUCCUUAUCUGUAAAGUGGAGUUAAUAAUCCUUUCUAUCUCACAGAGUGUAGUGAAGUUAGACAAUUCAAUUAAUAGUUGCAAAACUAAUUUAGCUUCCGGGGUAGAAAGUGAUAAAAAACUGUAAGGAAUUAUUCAUAAAUGCUGUAAGCUAUCGCUGUCCAAAGCUGAAGAACAAACGUUCUGCUUCAUAUUUGUCCUGACUUCUGCUACCCAAGAAGGUUGUUCAUCUAUGAAAGAUAGAGCUUAACUUACUUGCAUCACCAUUUCUUUCUUUUUACCCAGCAUAUUUGUAUUGACAUAAAUUACAUCCUUUCAUAUUAUAUUAUUAUUAGCUAAGCACUAAUAUCGAAUCAAAUUAAAGGAGUGGAUAAUAUUCUCCUUGGGUAGAAUGCCAUUGAUUGUAAGUCUGAAGCUGAGACCCACGGAGAUAUUGGGUAAAUCUGGCUAAGUCUUUAGAGCUGUUUUAUUUAUGUUUUAAGCCAAAUAAAAUAUUAUCAGAGCAUGGACU